GCAUUAAUGGGGUAGUGGUAACCUGGGUCGUUGCCAUAUCGGAUUCGACCCGCCGGGAGUUCGAUUCUCUCUUAAUGCA